rnacentral:rRNA from 1 species
AUUGAACGCUGGCGGCAGGCCUAACACAUGCAAGUCGAACGGUAACAGGAAGAAGCUUGCUUCUUUGCUGACGAGUGGCGGACGGGUGAGUAAUGUCUGGGAAACUGCCUGAUGGAGGGGGAUAACUACUGGAAACGGUAGCUAAUACCGCAUAACGUCGCAAGACCAAAGAGGGGGACCUUCGGGCCUCUUGCCAUCGGAUGUGCCCAGAUGGGAUUAGCCAGUAGGUGGGGUAACGGCUCACCUAGGCGACGAUCCCUAGCUGGUCUGAGAGGAUGACCAGCCACACUGGAACUGAGACACGGUCCAGACUCCUACGGGAGGCAGCAGUGGGGAAUAUUGCACAAUGGGCGCAAGCCUGAUGCAGCCAUGCCGCGUGUAUGAAGAAGGCCUUCGGGUUGUAAAGUACUUUCAGCGGGGAGGAAGGGAGUAAAGUUAAUACCUUUACUCAUUGACGUUACCCGCAGAAGAAGCACCGGCUAACUCCGUG